rnacentral:rRNA from 1 species
AACAUCGCCUCCUGUUAAAACAUAGUAGGUAAAGCCUGCCCGGUGACCCAUUUUAACGGCCGCGGUACCCUGACCGUGCGAAGGUAGCGUAAUCACCUGUUUUUUAAUUAAAGACCUGUAUCAACGGCAUCACGAGAAUCCCACUGUCUCCUUUUUCCAAUCAGUGAAACUAAUCUGCCUGUGAAAAAGCAGGAAUAAAUCUACAAGACGAGAAGACCCUUUGGAGCUUUAGACAAUGUGAUGACCCAAUAUACCUCAUCCCUAGUCUUAGGUUGGGGCAACCACGGAGAAGAAAAAAACCUCCGAGACGCACACCUACAAAAGCCACACCUUUAAAUAUCAUAACUGACACUAAUUGACCCAAUACUUUGACCAACGAACUAAGUUACCCAAGGGAUAACAGCGCAAUCCACUUAGAGAGCCCCUAUCGACNAAGUGGGCUUACGACCUCGAUGUUGGAUCAAGAUAUCCUAGUGGUGCAGCCGCUACUAAUGGUUCGUUUGUUCAACGAUUAAAAUCUCACGUGAU